rnacentral:rRNA from 1 species
UACGAAGGGGGCUAGCGUUGUUCGGAAUCACUGGGCGUAAAGCGUGCGCAGGCGGCUUCUCAAGUCAGGGGUGAAAGCCCAGAGCUCAACUCUGGAAUUGCCUUUGAGACUGAGUGGCUUGAGUACGGGAGAGGUGAGCGGAAUUCCCAGUGUAGAGGUGAAAUUCGUAGAUAUUGGGAAGAACACCGGUGGCGAAGGCGGCUCACUGGCUCGUAACUGACGCUCAUGCACGACAGCGUGGGGAUCAAACAGG